rnacentral:rRNA from 1 species
CGCCAACUAGCUAGCCCGCCUAAGCCACAACAACACACCCUUAUUUAUAACCCCAAAUACACGAACAUAAAGUUAAAUAAAGCAUUUUACCACCUUAGUAUGUGAGACAGAAAAGGAACUAGGAGCAAUAGAGAAAGUACCGUAAGGGAACGCUGAAAGAGAAAUGAAACAAACCAGUGCCGCACAGAAAAGCAGAGAUCUAAACUCGUACCUUUUGCAUCAUGAUUUAGCCAGUGUAUCCCAAGCAAAGAGAACUUUAGUUUGAUAUCCCGAAACUAAGUGAGCUACUCCAAGACAGCCUCUUAAGAGGGCGCACCCGUCUCCGUAGUAAAGGAGUGGGAAGAGCUUUGAGUAGGAGUGACAAACCAAUCGAACUUAGUUAUAGCUGGUUGUCUGGGAAAUGGAUAGGAGUUCAGCCUCCCGGCUUCUUCCCUUCACCUAGGUCUUGUUUCCUUCUACUGUUAGUAAGAAACCCGGAGAGUUAUUCAAAGGGGGCACAGCCCCUUUGAAAAAAGAUACAACUUUUAUAGGAGGAUAAAGAUCAUA